rnacentral:rRNA from 1 species
CUGGAGGUAUCAGAAGUGCGAAUGCUGACAUAAGUAACGAUAAAGCGGGUGAAAAGCCCGCUCGCCGGAAGACCAAGGGUUCCUGUCCAACGUUAAUCGGGGCAGGGUGAGUCGACCCCUAAGGCGAGGCCGAAAGGCGUAGUCGAUGGGAAACGGGUUAAUAUUCCCGUACUUGGUGUUACUGCGAAGGGGGGACGGAGAAGGCUAUGUUGGCCGGGCGACGGUUGUCCCGGUUUAAGCGUGUAGGUGUGUGUUCCAGGUAAAUCCGGUUCACUUUAACACUGAGGCGUGAUGACGAGGCACUACGGUGCUGAAGCAACAAAUGCCCUGCUUCCAGGAAAAGCCUCUAAGCAUCAGGUAACAUCAAAUCGUACCCCAAACCGACACAGGUGGUCAGGUAGAGAAUACCAAGGCGCUUGAGAGAACUCGGGUGAAGGAACUAGGCAAAAUGGUGCCGUAACUUCGGGAGAAGGCACGCUGACACGUAGGUGAAGUGAUUUACUCAUGGAGCUGAAGUCAGUCGAAGAUACCAGCUGGCUGCAACUGUUUAUUAAAAACACAGCACUGUGCAAACACGAAAGUGGACGUAUACGGUGUGACGCCUGCCCGGUGCCGGAAGGUUAAUUGAUGGGGUCAGCGCAAGCGAAGCUCCUGAUCGAAGCCCCGGUAAACGGCGGCCGUAACUAUAACGGUCCUAAGGUAGCGAAAUUCCUUGUCGGGUAAGUUCCGACCUGCACGAAUGGCGUAAUGAUGGCCAGGCUGUCUCCACCCGAGACUCAGUGAAAUUGAACUCGCUGUGAAGAUGCAGUGUACCCGCGGCAAGACGGAAAGACCCCGUGAACCUUUACUAUAGCUUGACACUGAACAUUGAGCCUUGAUGUGUAGGAUAGGUGGGAGGCUUUGAAGUGUGGACGCCAGUCUGCAUGGAGCCGACCUUGAAAUACCACCCUUUAAUGUUUGAUGUUCUAACGUGGACCCGUGAUCCGGGUUGCGGACAGUGUCUGGUGGGUAGUUUGACUGGGGCGGUCUCCUCCUAAAGAGUAACGGAGGAGCACGAAGGUUGGCUAAUCCUGGUCGGACAUCAGGAGGUUAGUGCAAUGGCAUAAGCCAGCUUGACUGCGAGCGUGACGGCGCGAGCAGGUGCGAAAGCAGGUCAUAGUGAUCCGGUGGUUCUGAAUGGAAGGGCCAUCGCUCAACGGAUAAAAGGUACUCCGGGGAUAACAGGCUGAUACCGCCCAAGAGUUCAUAUCGACGGCGGUGUUUGGCACCUCGAUGUCGGCUCAUCACAUCCUGGGGCUGAAGUAGGUCCCAAGGGUAUGGCUGUUCGCCAUUUAAAGUGGUACGCGAGCUGGGUUUAGAACGUCGUGAGACAGUUCGGUCCCUAUCUGCCGUGGGCGCUGGAGAACUGAGGGGGGCUGCUCCUAGUACGAGAGGACCGGAGUGGACGCAUCACUGGUGUUCGGGUUGUCAUGCCAAUGGCACUGCCCGGUAGCUAAAUGCGGAAGAGAUAAGUGCUGAAAGCAUCUAAGCACGAAACUUGCCCCGAG